rnacentral:rRNA from 1 species
GGCGCACGGGUGCGUAACGCGUGGGAAUCUGCCCUUCGGUUCGGAAUAACUCAGGGAAACUUGAGCUAAUACCGGAUGAUGACGUAAGUCCAAAGAUUUAUCGCCGAAGGAUGAGCCCGCGUAAGAUUAGCUAGUUGGUGGGGUAAAGGCCUACCAAGGCUACGAUCUUUAGCUGGUCUGAGAGGAUGAUCAGCCACACUGGGACUGAGACACGGCCCAGACUCCUACGGGAGGCAGCAGUGGGGAAUAUUGGACAAUGGGCGAAAGCCUGAUCCAGCAAUGCCGCGUGAGUGAUGAAGGCCUUAGGGUUGUAAAGCUCUUUUACCCGGGAUGAUAAUGACAGUACCGGGAGAAUAAGCUCCGGCUAACUCCGUGCCAGCAGCCGCGG